GACGAACGCUGGCGGCGUGCCUAAUACAUGCAAGUCGAACGCAGUUGCGAACGGGAGAGUAACGCGUAGGUAACUGCCUGGUAGCGGGGGAUAACUAUGGGAAACGAUAGCUAAUACCGCAUACUACCAGAUGGACCUGCGUUGUAUUAGCUAGUUGGUGAGGUAACGGCUCACCAAGGCAACGGUACAUAGCCGACCUGGGGAGGUGGACGGCCCAACUGGGACUGGGACACGGCCCAGACUCCUACCGGAGGCAGCAGUAGGGAAACAUCGGCAAUGGGGGGAAACCUGACCGAGCAACGCCGCGGGAGUGAAAGAGGUUUUCGGAUCGUAAAGCUCUGUUGUUAAGGAAGCGGUACUUGACCAGAAAGCGCCGGCUAACUACGUGCCAGCAGCCGCGGUAAUAC
rnacentral:rRNA from 1 species